UACGUAGGUGGCAAGCGUUUGUCCGGAAUUAUUGGGCGUAAAGCGCGCGCAGGCGGCCUCUUAAGUCUGAUGUGAAAGCCCCCGGCUCAACCGGGGGAGGGCCAUUGGAAACUGGGAGGCUUGAGUAUAGGAGAGAAGAGUGGAAUUCCACGUGUAGCGGUGAAAUGCGUAGAGAUGUGGAGGAACACCAGUGGCGAAGGCGACUCUUUGGCCUAUAACUGACGCUGAGGCGCGAAAGCGUGGGGAGCAAACAGG
rnacentral:rRNA from 1 species